rnacentral:rRNA from 1 species
AUCAACGCUGGCGGCGUGCCUAACACAUGCAAGUCGAAACGCGAAAGUCCCGCAAAGGGAUUAGUAAGAGUGGCAAACGGGUGAGUAAACCGCGUUGGGUGACCUGGCCUUCGAGCGGGGGGAUAACGUUCCGAAAGGGGACGCUAUAAUACCGCAUCACAAUCCCUGCUUUUUAAGAAGUGGCGAUCAAAGCCUGGGAACCGCAAGGCCAGGCACUCGAAGAGGGGCCCCGCGUUCUGAUUAGCUAGUUGGGUGGGGUAAUGGCUCACCAAGGCAACGAUCAGUAUCCGGCCUGAGAGGGCGGGACGGACACAACUGGGACUGAGAACACGGCCCAGACUUCCUACGGGAGGCAGCAGUGGGGAAAUUGUUCGCAAUGGGCGCAAGCCUGACGACGCAACGCCGCGUGGGAGGAUGAAGAUCUUCGGGUCGUAAACUCCUUUCGAUCGAGACGGAACGGCCUCCGGGUACAUCCGGAGGAGUGACGGUACCGAGAGAGAAGGAAAGCCCCGGCUAACUCCGUGCCAGCAGCCGCGGUAAUACGGGGGGGGCAAGCGUUGUUUCGGAAUAAUUACUGGGCGUAAAGGGCUCGUAGGUGGCCAACUAAGUUCGGACGUGAAAUCCCCUCGGCUUAACCGGGGGAACUGCAUCCGUAUAACUGGAUGGCUUGAGUUUGGGAGAGGGACGCGGAAUUUCCAGGUUGUAGCGGUGGAAAAUGCGUAGAUAUCUGGAGGAAACACCGGUGGCGAGAAGGCGGCGUCCUGGACCAACACUGACACUGAUGAAGCGAAAGCCAGGGGAGGCAAACGGGAUUAGAUACCCCGGUAAGGUCCUGGCCCUAAACGAUGAAUGCUUGGUGUGGCGGGUAUCGAUCCCUGCCGUGCCGGAAAGCUAACCGCAAUUAAGCAUUCCGCCUGGGGAAGUAACGGUCGCAAGGCUGAAACUCAAAGGAAUUGACGGGGGCCCGCACAAGCGGUGGGAGCAUUUGGUCAAUUCGACGCAAACGCGAAGAACCUUACCCAGGCUUGAAACAGCGAGUGACCAGCUCCGAAAGGAGCCUUCCGCAAGGACACUCGUAGAGGUGCUGCAUGGCUGUCGUCAGCCUCGUGUCGUGGAGAUGUUGGGUUUAAGUUCCGCAACGAGGCGCAACCCCUUGUUUGCUGUUGCCAUCACGUUACGGUGGGCACUCUGCAAAGACUGCCGGUGAUAAAACCGGAGAGGAAGGGUGGGGAUGACGUCAAGUCAGCAUGGCCUUUAUGUCUGGGGCUACACACGUGCUACAAUGGCCGAUACCAAACCGUCGCGAUACCGUAAGGUGGAGCUAAUCGGAAGGAAAAGUCGGUCCUCAGUUCGGAUCGUAGGCUGCAACUCGGCUGCGUGAAGUUGGAAUCGCUAGUAUCGCCGGAUCAGCACGCCGCGGUGAAUACGUUUCCCGGGCCUUGUACACACCGCCCGUCACAUUCACGAAAGCCGGUUGUACUAGAAGUCGCCGCAUUAUUAACCCGCAAGGGAGAGAGGGCGCCUAAGGUAUGGUCGGUGAUUGGGGUG